GAUGCAUUCCUGAAAGUUAACACUGUCUACUCCAUUUUAGACUUCAUUAUGACAUAGCAGACUUAAAGAGCACUAAAGAAAAUAUGUUAUUAAAUAUUAUUUUCUAAUGCAUUUGGAUACAAACUCUUUUGGAACCUUUCUUGUACUUGGAAUGGAAAGCAAUGAAUUCACUUAUUCACUGACUAUGUGCCAUGUAUUUGAAGCUCUGGCAAUGGGACCCCUUCCAGAACAUCUUCUAUGACUGGAGGUUCUUCUGGCUGAAGCCUGAGGGAGACUUAAAGUGAACACCUGAAAGAAGACAUGAAGUGAUCCAGUUAUCUUGGAUUAUCAUCAGUUUAAAACUGAAGCAAAUGAAGGGAAGGACAAGGGAGAAGCACACUAUAUGGUACAUGUUAAGUCACUCAGAAAGUAUAGGCUGAAUGGAUAAAGCUGCAACAAACAGGAAAUGGAUACAAUUUUACAGAGUACAAGGAGGAGCUGUUUCUUCCACUGCAACCAUGUGGUUUUAAUGGGGCUUCCAUGUUCUCUUCCAUGUUCCUGGAAAUCCUGGAAACUGGAUAUUUUAAUUAAAAUGGACACUCAAACCAGCUCAGAAGAUCAAAGACCUUUAUGUUGGGACUUUUAAACUGAGGCAGAUAGAAAUGUUCCAACAGAACAUCUGGUGGUGAGAUGGAUGUGCUGGCAGAAUUGUUUUCUGCACUAAAGAUGAGCUUUGCCAAAGAAACCAUGUGGUUCAUGUGAGGUUGUGGAGGAGCAAGGACAGAAGGAAAAACAGAGAGGAGAGAAAGAAAGUGGUGUGGAGGGCAGGGCAGAGAGAAAAAAAGACAGAGCUCAGUAACAGUCCAGUACUUUGCUUCU
rnacentral:lncRNA from 1 species